rnacentral:tRNA from 1 species
GGAGGGGUGGGUGAGCGGCCGAAGCCACUUGCCUGGAGAGCAAGUGCACCCCCAAAGGGUGCCGUGGGUUCAAAUCCCACCCCCUCCGCCA